GGACCUCCAAGACGUGUCCAGCCUGCUCUUUGCUGGGAGAUUGUACCGAGAGAACCUGUCCUCCCACCAAGGAAGCCUGCUUGUUUAGCCAGAUGCAGCUGGGUGGGGGGACCAGAGGGGGCCUGGGUGGAGGACCCAUAAAGUGGGUGGGGAAGGGUUUUGUGUGUCGGGGGUGAAGGCAUGAAAAAACCACCCCAGGACUGGACUCAUAACUCAGCAUAGGGCCGCUGGGGUGGUGGGGGGUUAGGGGACAGGCUUCAAUGCCAGCUGGGGGAUUGCUACAGACAGGGCCACGGUUGGGGCCGGGGUGUGGGGGAGUCUCUGAUCUCUCCUCCACAACCUCUGUCCCCAGAAAAUGGGAAUCUCAUCAAGAACGGGUCAUGUGUCGCCCCUGGGGAAUGCCGAGAAGGUGUCUACUCCCUGACCUAUGGCCCCGACUUGAGUCUCUGGGUCAGCAUGGCCUGUUGUGAGGACAACUGCAGCAAGGCCACCCGACAAGAGGCACCACCCAAAGCCCAGCUCAACGGAGUGAAAUGUCACCACUGUUUUGGGGAUAAGUCAGCCUUGUGUGACUCCCGUUCGGUCAUGAACUGCACUGGUGAUCAGACCGUGUGUCUCACCCUCAACGGGACAUGGAAUGGAGGAGGUCCCCAAAUCUUGAAGGGCUGUGCUACCCCAAAUGUCUGCCACCUGCAAGUGAACACCAUCCUGGGACCAGAAGCAUCUGGAUUUCAUCUCAUCAGCAAGCCUGAAUGCGACUACAUGGUUACUACCCCCCAGCCAAGUGCGUUGAACUCUGACUUCCUGGGAUUCUAUCUUUUUCUGCCCUUCCCAGAUCCCACAUGCCCUUCCCAAUCCUAUGUGUUUCCAGGGUAUCCCCUCCCCCUACCAUAUGCUCUCAGGGAGUGCAAUUACCCACAGAAGAGCACACACAUACACACACACACACCAUGUAACACACUUAGAAGCAGAAAAUCCUGCUGGCACACACCCCACAUCCACAAACAUCUACAUCUAUAUCCCAGCACCCAAAACUUGCCGACAGAGGAGCACACAUUUCUAAACACGAGCAUCCUGUCAUGUAAGUGAGACUAGAGAUACAAACUCUGUUUAAACAAGAAAUCUAAUGGUCUUUUUUUCUUUCUUUCCUUCACUUCCUUGCUUGUGAAAGAAGACAGAUUUGCCAACAGCCUUCUUUUGGCUUAACAAAGAACACAGACAGUAAGUUUUAUCUUCCAGAAAAGAGAGUUGCUAAUUGAGAUAGUAUUUACUGGGGCAGCAGCUUUUUAAGUGAGACAACUGAACAGAAUCACAGAUGUUUCAGAGGUGAGAAAGGCAAUUUCCUUUUUUUUAAGAUUUUAUUUAUUUAUUUAUUUAUUUAUUUAUUUAUUUAUUUAUUUAUGAGAGAGAGAGAGAGAGGCAGAGAGAGAGAGAGAGAGAGAGAGAGGCAGAGACACAGGCAGAGAGAGAAGCAGGCUCCAUGCAGGGAGCCUGAUGCGGGACUCGAUCCCGGGUCUCCAGGAUCACACCCUGGGCUGCAGGCGGUGCUAAACUGCUGAG
rnacentral:lncRNA from 12 species